UUUGGCCAGAAAUGGUGAGAAGAAAAAGCAUGAAGAAGCCGCGAAGUGGAGAAGAAAAGGUGAAGGGAGAUGCAGCUCCUGGAGAAUUUGUAAAAAGCCUUGCAAAGAGUUGUCGGAAGGACCGUUAUUCCUGCUGGGCAGGAGAGAGAGGAGAGACCCUGAAACACACGCCACCUAUCUUUGUGGGGAGGGAUAAUUGAAGAGCACCAAACGUGAGCAUCAUGUGGAAACGUGAUCGCCAAGUUUCUCUCUGGGAAAGGAUCUGGGAUAGAUUAUACCUUGAAGUCUCCGCAAACGCUUUAGUGGAAGAAAUGAAAUUCCACCUCCCUCCCGCUCUGUCUCCCUCCUCCUCUCUCCGACCCUCGCUCCCUUUCCUCCCUCCUCCCCCCCCCCCCCGCAACCAUCAAGUCUUUGGCAUCAUUAUCCUCUUCACUAAAUCCUACUGGAUACAAGGCGGAAAACGGUGAACACCAUUCACAGAGCUGGAUAACUCAAAGGAGCUGAAAGUUAAAGGGAGCGAUCCAGUGUCUUUCAAUCAAGAUCCCUACUUCUUUUUAUAGAGAUAGCUCUAAUGGCCAGAUUCUGCAGGCACAUUCACUUGGGUAGCUUUUUCAGCAUGGUUUCUAGCAGGAAAGUCUCUUUCUCCUUCUCUGUCCCCCCUCCACCCUUUCUUUCACAUGAGCAAACCAUAGCUCAAAAUUAUGGGCAGAAACUAAACAUUGUAUCUGAACUGGAAAAAAAGGCACCUAGUUGACUUCUGAUCAUUUUGUUGUUGUUGUUUGUUGUUGUUUCGACGCUCAACCUUCUAAUUUGAAUUGUCUGUUAUAUCUGUAGAAAAAAGUGAGAUUUGACAUUCUUUCUGUUUUGUUCUCAGAUAUGGAUCAUGGGGUGAAAUGGCUCUUUUUCUGUCUCUCUUCCCUUUUUUGGGGAGGGGAGGAGCUAGCUAGCUAGAGUGACUGUAUGAGUGGUACUGAACUUGUGGGGAUAACAAGUUUACCAGUUUUUAAAAUAGGAAAAUAAUAAUAAUAAAAUAAAAUAAUAAUAAUAUUAAAACCAGACUCCACCUUUGCACUGAAGGGAUUGGUUAUGCAAAUCUGGAAGGGGUUUCCUGGCAAAUACAGCUUUCUACUGUAUGGUUAAUUAAAUCAUCACUCAAAAGCCUUCCAAUGUGACGCUUCUGUCGUAAUCCAAUCAGGGUACGUAGGUCCUAAACAAGAAAGAUAUUUUCCACAUCUGGAAGUCAGCAAUUUAGCAAGUACUGCACAUUAUUAACCAAUUCAGAGCCCACUUCCCAGGGGGAUUUUUUUUUUUAAGUUUAAGUGUUCUUAACCAAUGCUCUGCUGUUUUGUUUACCAAAAAGCUGGUUUACACUGCACAUAAUUGGAAACUAAUAUAGAAGUAACUAAAGACAGCCAAAUUUGGUCAGCAAAGGCGUUUAUCUGAAAAGGGGAAAAAAAUCUCUGAGACUUGAUCAGUUCAUGCCCAGCUCCUCACAGAACUCACAUACGGCUCCUUCUCUGGAAGGGCUUUACAUAAUCUCAAUGUAAAGAUGAACUUCAAAUCCUACAUGUUUGUAUGAUCUUUGUGAAGGUAAAGUGAAGCUGCCCAAGGGGCUGUAUUAGCGGGCUCCGUAUGAAUUUCCUUGCUUUGACAGAGUUAAAUCUAUUACUGCACCCCCCCCCCCCAAGUAAACUGAAACAAAUGGUACACUGAUCCGACACUAUACUUUUACUUACAUUAAGCUAAGAUAAACUGCUCUUGAACUGUGCAUUGAAUGUGUGCCUAAAGCAAGAAUUGUAAUGCUAGCAAUAGUCACUAGCAAUUGCAUUCAAAAAUGCUCCUGAUCAGAGCACACCUUUCUGAUGAUUAAACAUUGCAAAGAAAGAAAAAUCAAACGUGCAUUUGCAAAUCAUCGCUUCCUCAGAGAUCUGAUGAAUAUUUUUUAUCUGCUAAUAAAGCUACCCUCCGAUUUUAAAAUCAAAUCUGAAUGCACUGCACUGGCAAUCGCCCGAUCAUACAAUUUUUGGGGAAAUAGGGAAGAUUGAACAGUUGGUUACAGUAUAAGAUUUGGACACAUCUGGGGACUGUAAUUGUCAGUGCACCUAAUGAGUAUAAACUGACUGUUAUUAGAAACCAGGGAUGUCUUUAGUGUAGGCAGAUUUUAGAGCAACAACCACAAAAUCUUUUUUUAACAGUUCCAAAUAAAAUCCUCAGCUCACUGA